rnacentral:rRNA from 1 species
GAUUAACGCUGGCGGCGUGCCUAACACAUGCGAGUCGAGCGGCAGCGAGUUUUACACUGAAUUCUGGAAGCUUCUAGUUGAAAGAGAAGAUUUAUUCAAGAAUUUUGUGUAAAAUGUCGGCGAGCGGCGGACGGCUGAGUAACGCGUGGGAACGUACCCCAAAGUGAGGGAUAACGCAUCGAAAGGUGUGCUAAUACCGCAUAUGGUCUUCGGAUUAAAGCCUUCGGGCGCUUUGGGAACGGCCUGCGUAAGAUUAGAUAGUUGGUGGGGUAAUGGCCUACCAAGUCGACGAUCUUUAACUGGUUUGAGAGGAUGAUCAGUCAGACUGGAACUGAGACACGGUCCAGACUCCUACGGGAGGCAGCAGUGAGGAAUCUUCCACAAUGGGCGAAAGCCUGAUGGAGCAACGCCGCGUGCAGGAUGAAGGCCUUCGGGUUGUAAACUGCUUUUAUAAGUGAGGAUUAUGACAGUAACUUAUGAAUAGGGAUCGGCUAACUACGUG